CCUACGGGUGGCUGCAGUGGGGAAUAUUGGACAAUGGGGGCAACCCUGAUCCAGCCAUGCCGCGUGUGUGAAGAAGGCCCUCGGGUUGUAAAGCACUUUCAGUGAGGAAGAACGCCUAGUGGUUAAUACCCAUCAGGAAAGACAUCACUCACAGAAGAAGCACCGGCUAACUCCGUGCCAGCAGCCGCGGUAAUACGGAGGGUGCGAGCGUUAAUCGGAAUUACUGGGCGUAAAGCGCGCGUAGGUGGCUUGAUAAGCCGGUUGUGAAAGCCCCGGGCUCAACCUGGGAACGGCAUCCGGAACUGUCAAGCUAGAGUGCAGGAGAGGAAGGUAGAAUUCCCGGUGUAGCGGUGAAAUGCGUAGAGAUCGGGAGGAAUACCAGUGGCGAAGGCGGCCUUCUGGACUGACACUGACACUGAGGUGCGAAAGCGUGGGUAGCAAACAGGAUUAGAUACCCUUGUAGUC
rnacentral:rRNA from 1 species